UGUUGUAAAUACCUGAAUAUUUUUAAAUAUGUGAUCCUAUCUUGUCUGCUUUUGGCUUGCUGUACAGGAAAUACUUUUAGUAGUUUGGCAGGGAUGAUGUUUGAGUGGAGCAUUGCCCAGGACAACGAGUCAGCCAGAGAAGAACUGUCCAGCAAAAUUAGGAUUCUUAAAUACUCUGAAGCAGAAUAUGCUCCCCAAUGUAUAUAGCGGAGAUGGAAAAGAGGAGAAACAAGGAGAUGUGAUUUUAGUGUCUGGGAUUAGAACUGGUGCUGCUGUUGUAAAAGUUCGAAUUCAUGAACCAUUCUAUAAGAAAGUGGCAGCAGCAUUAAUACGUCUGCUUGUUUUGGAGAAUAUAUUUCUUAUACCAUCCCAUGAUAUUUAUCUCUUAGUAGGAACAUAUAUUAAAUAUCAAGUUGCAAAAAUGGUUCAAGGGAGAAUGACAGAGGUGAAAUUUCCCCUGGAACAUUAUAUACUGGAAUUGCAAGACCAUAGAGUUGCACUUAAUGGGUCUCAUUCUGAGAAAGUGGCUUUACUGGAUGACAAAACAGCCAUGGUGACUGCCUCACAACUGGGCCAGACUAAUCUUGUCUUUGUCCAUAAAAGUAUCCUUUUGUUCAAGUUUUAGCUGCCAGUCUACACUUCCUUGAGCAUGCUAGACAUGUUCUUUGGUAAAAUAAUUUAAGAAUGAUUAUAGUACUACUACAGUGUUUUCCUAUAGGUUUUAUUUUUUUAUUUUUUUUUUUUGAGACGGAGUCUUGCUCUGUCGCCAGGGCUGGAGUGCAGUGGCCGGAUCUCA
rnacentral:lncRNA from 1 species